rnacentral:rRNA from 1 species
GACGAACGCUGGCGGCGUGCCUAAUACAUGCAAGUAGAACGCACAGUUUAUACCGUAGCUUGCUACACCAUAGACUGUGAGUUGCGAACGGGUGAGUAACGCGUAGGUAACCUGCCUGGUAGCGGGGGAUAACUAUUGGAAACGAUAGCUAAUACCGCAUAAUAUUGAUUAUUGCAUGAUAAUUGAUUGAAAGAUGCUAUUGCAUCACUACCGGAUGGACCUGCGUUGUAUUAGCUAGUAGGUGAGGUAACGGCUCACCUAGGCGACGAUACAUAGCCGACCUGAGAGGGUGAUCGGCCACACUGGGACUGAGACACGGCCCAGACUCCUACGGGAGGCAGCAGUAGGGAAUCUUCGGCAAUAGACGAAAGUCUGACCGAGCAACGCCGCGUGAGUGAAGAAGGUUUUCGGAUCGUAAAGCUCUGUUGUAAGAGAAGAACGGGUGUGAGAGUGGAAAGUUCACACUGUGACGGUAUCUUACCAGAAAGGGACGGCUAACUACGUG